UGUGGUGUCAGGAAGAACUGCGAAGGCAGGAAGCUGGGCUCACUGGGGAAAGCUGUGUAAACAGAGAUUCCAACAGACAUGGCUGGAGGGGCCCCGGGAGAGCUGAACCCAGAGGACGAUGAAAGCUGGGGAGGCUGCAUGGAAGGCCAUGAUGCCAGCCUGUCCUACAUCGACUGCUGCCCAUGGCAGGAGGCAGAAUGUUCCAGACAGCAGCACCGCAGGGACAGCUGGAAUGUUCCAGAAGAAAGGAGAGAGACGGAGGAGUAGGCAGAG
rnacentral:lncRNA from 1 species